rnacentral:rRNA from 1 species
AUUGAACGCUGGCGGCAGGCUUAACACAUGUAAGUCGAGCGAGCGGCGGACGGGUGAGUAAUGUAUGGGGAACUGCCUGAUAGAGGGGGAUAACUACUGGAAACGGUGGCUAAUACCGCAUACCAUCAGAUGUACCCAUAUGGGAUUAGCUAGUAGGUGGGGUAAUGGCUCACCUAGGCGACGAUCGCUAGCUGGUCUGAGAGGAUGACCAGCCAGACUGGAACUGAGACACGGCCCAGACUCCUACGGGAGGCAGCAGUGGGGAAUAUUGCACAAUGGGCGCAAGCCUGAUGCAGCCAUGCCGCGUGUAUGAAGAAGGCCUUAGGGUUGUAAAGUACUUUCAGCGGGGAGGCGUUACCCGCAGAAGAAGCACCGGCUAACUCCGUGCCAGCAGCCGCGGUAAUAC